GAUGAACGCUGGCGGCGUGCUUAACACAUGCAAGUCGAACGAUGAAGCCCAGCUUGCUGGGUGGAUUAGUGGCGAACGGGUGAGUAACACGUGAGUAACCUGCCCUUAACUCUGGGAUAAGCCUGGGAAACUGGGUCUAAUACCGGAUAGGAGCGUCCACCGCAUGGUGGGUGUUGGAAAGAUUUAUCGGUUUUGGAUGGACUCGCGGCCUAUCAGCUUGUUGGUGAGGUAAUGGCUCACCAAGGCGACGACGGGUAGCCGGCCUGAGAGGGUGACCGGCCACACUGGGACUGAGACACGGCCCAGACUCCUACGGGAGGCAGCAGUGGGGAAUAUUGCACAAUGGGCGCAAGCCUGAUGCAGCGACGCCGCGUGAGGGAUGGCGGCCUUCGGGUUGUAAACCUCUUUCAGUAGGGAAGAAGCGAAAGUGACGGUACCUGCAGAAGAAGCACCGGCUAACUACGUG
rnacentral:rRNA from 1 species